AGGUAGCGAAGCUAUACCGUUACCGUAUCGUCAAGACCAACUUCCUAAGCCACUUGACGUGCCUGUCGCCGAAGGCCAGGAUAUUACAAUAAGCUGUGACUUCAAAACUGGCGACGACCAGCAGAUAAUCUCAUGGAGCAGGCUUGAUCAACGUCAAUUGCCACAAAAUGUUCAACUCAACGACAGAGAACUUAUCUUUCAGAGAACAACCACCGAAAACGCAGCAGAGUACCUCUGCAAAGUGACUAGCGGUGGUUUCUUGCUGCGUCAGCUGUACCUCAGACUGAAGGUGUUGGCGUUGCCGCGCGUCGUCAUCCUUCCGGAGACACCC